UACGAAGGGUGCAAGCGUUACUCGGAAUUACUGGGCGUAAAGCGUGCGUAGGCGGUUCGUUAAGUCUGUCGUGAAAGCCCUGGGCUCAACCUGGGAAUUGCGAUGGAUACUGGCGAGCUAGAGUACGGUAGAGGAUGGUGGAAUUCCCGGUGUAGCGGUGAAAUGCGUAGAGAUCGGGAGGAACACCCGUGGCGAAGGCGGCCAUCUGGACCAGUACUGACGCUGAGGCUCGAAAGCGUGGGGAGCAAACAGG
rnacentral:rRNA from 1 species